rnacentral:rRNA from 1 species
UAAGGGCGCACGGUGGAUGCCUUGGCACUAGAAGCCGAUGAAGGACGUUACUAACGACGAUAUGCUUUGGGGAGCUGUAAGUAAGCUUUGAUCCAGAGAUUUCCGAAUGGGGAAACCCAGCAUGAGUUAUGUCAUGUUAUCGAUAUGUGAAUACAUAGCAUAUCAGAAGGCACACCCGGAGAACUGAAACAUCUUAGUACCCGGAGGAAGAGAAAGAAAAUUCGAUUCCCUUAGUAGCGGCGAGCGAAACGGGAAGAGCCCAAACCAACAAGCUUGCUUGUUGGGGUUGUAGGACACUCUAUACGGAGUUACAAAGGACGACAUUAGACGAAUCAUCUGGAAAGAUGAAUCAAAGAAGGUAAUAAUCCUGUAGUCGAAAAUGUUGUCUCUCUUGAGUGGAUCCUGAGUACGACGGAGCACGUGAAAUUCCGUCGGAAUCUGGGAGGACCAUCUCCUAAGGCUAAAUACUCUCUAGUGACCGAUAGUGAACCAGUACCGUGAGGGAAAGGUGAAAAGCACCCCGGAAGGGGAGUGAAAUAGAACCUGAAACCGUGUGCUUACAAGUAGUCAGAGCCCGUUAAUGGGUGAUGGCGUGCCUUUUGUAGAAUGAACCGGCGAGUUACGAUUUGAUGCAAGGUUAAGCAGUAAAUGUGGAGCCGUAGCGAAAGCGAGUCUGAAUAGGGCGUUUAGUAUUUGGUCGUAGACCCGAAACCAGGUGAUCUACCCUUGGUCAGGUUGAAGUUCAGGUAACACUGAAUGGAGGACCGAACCGACUUACGUUGAAAAGUGAGCGGAUGAACUGAGGGUAGCGGAGAAAUUCCAAUCGAACCUGGAGAUAGCUGGUUCUCUCCGAAAUAGCUUUAGGGCUAGCCUCAAGUGAUGAUUAUUGGAGGUAGAGCACUGUUUGGACGAGGGGCCCCUCUCGGGUUACCGAAUUCAGACAAACUCCGAAUGCCAAUUAAUUUAACUUGGGAGUCAGAACAUGGGUGAUAAGGUCCGUGUUCGAAAGGGAAACAGCCCAGACCACCAGCUAAGGUCCCAAAAUAUAUGUUAAGUGGAAAAGGAUGUGGCGUUGCCCAGACAACUAGGAUGUUGGCUUAGAAGCAGCCAUCAUUUAAAGAGUGCGUAAUAGCUCACUAGUCGAGUGACACUGCGCCGAAAAUGUACCGGGGCUAAACAUAUUACCGAAGCUGUGGAUUGUCCUUUGGACAAUGGUAGGAGAGCGUUCUAAGGGCGUUGAAGCAUGAUCGUAAGGACAUGUGGAGCGCUUAGAAGUGAGAAUGCCGGUGUGAGUAGCGAAAGACGGGUGAGAAUCCCGUCCACCGAUUGACUAAGGUUUCCAGAGGAAGGCUCGUCCGCUCUGGGUUAGUCGGGUCCUAAGCUGAGGCCGACAGGCGUAGGCGAUGGAUAACAGGUUGAUAUUCCUGUACCACCUAUAAUCGUUUUAAUCGAUGGGGGGACGCAGUAGGAUAGGCGAAGCGUGCGAUUGGAUUGCACGUCUAAGCAGUAAGGCUGAGUAUUAGGCAAAUCCGGUACUCGUUAAGGCUGAGCUGUGAUGGGGAGAAGACAUUGUGUCUUCGAGUCGUUGAUUUCACACUGCCGAGAAAAGCCUCUAGAUAGAAAAUAGGUGCCCGUACCGCAAACCGACACAGGUAGUCAAGAUGAGAAUUCUAAGGUGAGCGAGCGAACUCUCGUUAAGGAACUCGGCAAAAUGACCCCGUAACUUCGGGAGAAGGGGUGCUCUUUAGGGUUAACGCCCAGAAGAGCCGCAGUGAAUAGGCCCAAGCGACUGUUUAUCAAAAACACAGGUCUCUGCUAAACCGUAAGGUGAUGUAUAGGGGCUGACGCCUGCCCGGUGCUGGAAGGUUAAGAGGAGUGGUUAGCUUCUGCGAAGCUACGAAUCGAAGCCCCAGUAAACGGCGGCCGUAACUAUAACGGUCCUAAGGUAGCGAAAUUCCUUGUCGGGUAAGUUCCGACCCGCACGAAAGGCGUAACGAUUUGGGCACUGUCUCAACGAGAGACUCGGUGAAAUCAUAGUACCUGUGAAGAUGCAGGUUACCCGCGACAGGACGGAAAGACCCCGUGGAGCUUUACUGUAGCCUGAUAUUGAAAUUCGGCACAGCUUGUACAGGAUAGGUAGGAGCCUUUGAAACGUGAGCGCUAGCUUACGUGGAGGCGCUGGUGGGAUACUACCCUAGCUGUGUUGGCUUUCUAACCCGCACCACUUAU